GUGCGCUUUCGUGAUUGGCUGACCCCAAAACCUCACGCGCAGGUGAGUCAUACCUGUAAAUAACACAGGGGAUCGUAUUCACAAUUUACAAUGGUGUGUUCGGGGUAAAAGUUACAUCAUAGUUUCUUUAUUGACGAAUAAUUUCCCAAAAUAGACCUGAGUUUGGUUCCAAGUGAAGCGAAGGUGGGCACAGGGACAUUUCGCCAUAUCAAGAGGAAACUUCUGUUGAAAGCACCUGCGGAAACUGACAGCGGCACCCGGAACUAGGAAGUUUGAUUUUUAACCUCCUUGGAGAAACAAAGUGUCGGUACCGGUUGGACAUCCCCAAAGACCGAAAUACUGAUUUUGUAGUUCAGCAACUACCUGAAGACGGUAGCAGACUUCUCAAUGGGCAAAACGCGCGAGUGGGAGACGAAACGUUGUGCGAAGGAGACCGGAAGCCACGUCCCAACUACCUUUAACGGCGACUCGUCAUCGGGCGAUAACAAAACAACAACAAUGCCUCACGAACCGAACUCGAAGCUGCCUAAGCUGGUUAGCCAAGAAGACAUUUACAAGAUCGAUUCCGACGUUUUAGAGAACCGGUUGAGCGACAAUCCCAAGUACAAAGAUGAGGUGAAAAGGUGCGCGGAGACACUAAAGCACGUCGGAGACCAGUUGGAGAUAGACUACCUACGCAGGGACCUGAUCGGACUCAACCUGGAGGGAGUACGAGACCCUCCUCCAGAUCGCUGCACACAAACAACCAACAGGCCACAUUCAGCUAGGCGGUGAAGUUGAGAUCAGUGGGAUACCAGAGCUUCUAGAUCCUAGAUCCUAGACCCAACAGACCUUUACAUCCGAGCCUGUUACCCAGAGCGGCGAGGUACAGACGUGGAGCCAAAACAAGAACGGUUCCUCAUAGGACACGUGUCGCUAUCACUAGCCGCUAUGCAAAUACGCACAUUUUCAGAACUGAUACUAUUGCUAUGUUGAUGUACCACCUAUCAACGUUGGCAAGGUAAAGUUCAAAUGUGGCACGGUCUCUAAACGGACACCUGAAAAUGUGUCUUGGAAUAUUGUAGAUGGGUGAAAACUGUACGUGCAGUUACUGUAUAUAAAAAGGUCUGUUUUCCACUGUAACAAAGACUAGUACAUUGUAUAUGGCU